GGGGGCCGGCCCGGUGGCGCAGCGGUUAAGCUCGCACGUUCUGCUUCUCGGUUCCGCUUCUCGGCGGCUCCGGGUGCGCAGGUUGGGAUCCUGGGUGCGGACAUGGCACCGCUUGGCACGCCGUGCUGUGGGCCAGAAAGUCUGUGUUUCUGCCACGUCUUCAAGAUAAUCAAAGGAAAGGAGCUGUGUGGCUCCUGCAGUCUCAGUUUACAAGACAGUUGCCCACUGAUUGUUCCAUGAAUAAAGCAGGAAGGAAGAUCUGACUUCAAGGAUGGAGGAAAGACAACCUGGCGGGGGAAAAUUAGAGAAUGAUGAAGUCCCCGGAAUUCAUAUUUCUUGACUCAGUGCUUAGGGACAUUUUUGCCUGAUGUAAAAAACAUUGUCCUACCCAACCAGCUUCACUGACAUACUGCUCCUCAACCUUGGCCAAAAUUCUCCACGGAGGCAGUCAAGACGAUGAUCAUCCAUUAUAUCCUGUCACUCUGCCUCUGGAUUCAAGUCAGAAGACCAUCUUUUCUAACAGUUCCAUUUCUCCUUUAAGAGCCCUGUGCUUCUGCAGGAAAACUAAGGAGAUUACCAGAGUCUUAAAAAAACAGGUUUACAUGAGGAUUCUAGGCAGUGAUUUCUACUGUUGCUGUUCCUGGUGCUCACUGCCAUUUAGAUUGACUCCAGUGGAGGAACACAGUAGGCUCUGAACUCAGUAUUCUUGAAGAAGUGCCACGUAGUAAAACAGGUGCCAAGUACAUAAGAUGCACCAGGUGCGAAGGAUACACAGACCGGGAAGAUCAAAAAAAGGGUGAUCAAGUCUACCUGAGGGAAACACCGGCCAGAGGGUGACUGACUCCGCUUGGAGGAAUACAGACAAGAAGGUCACCAACUCUACCUGGGAGAGCUGGAUAAGGCUUCCUCUGGUAAGGACUGGGCCUCAUAGCACUUAUCAUCUCGUGUAAUUCUAACACCUGCUGCUGAUCAAUCUGGCUUUCCUACUCUGCUGCUCCUGGAGCCCAUGGGUUGCCUGGUGCGUAUUUGAGGGCAGCUUCAUGUACUACGUGACAGAGAGUGAUCAUUGCUAUAAUUAGUUUUGAAAGACUAAGUCGACAUCUUUUUGUUUGGAAAGUAAGUGGUAGCAGCAAGAGCAGGGAGCAAGAAUACCAAAUGAUGUACAUCUUAAGUGAAUUAAAGUGAUGAUGGUCUGAACUGGAAUGAGCAUAUGCAGAAAUGGAGAGUAUUACAACAAAAGACUUGGCAGGUUGUCUGCCUCUAUAAAUAAGGGAGAUAAAUAAAAGGUUUUUA
rnacentral:lncRNA from 1 species